GCUUUCUUAACACUUUCGCUGACAGUACGUCGUUAGACGGGAAAUUAACAUAUUGCGGUAUAACAGUACGUCGAAGGACGGGGUACUUACUUUUAUGAGCAUUGGCAGUACGUCGUCGGCCGACAAAUUCUAAUAGAAGCAAUAUGAAAAAUAGCAUUCACUGUCAUAUUGUAAGCAAUCUCACAUUUCUUACUGUCGUAACAUGAUUGUUUUGUGGGUAGUUUAAUAUUGCUGUCUCAGUUGUUCACGCACACACGUAAAUAGUUCGCAUAUAAGUACUACGUCCACCGGCGUGAGCGCACGCUAAUUUCUCGAUCAAUCAGUGCGGCCACUGCCAUUUUGUGAACAACCACGUGUUUACGUCACUCAAACAAUGUCAGCAAAAAGUUCAAAGAAACGUCCAAAAAUACGCUUGUGCGACGAUUUUUCAUCAAAUUCGCCAUCUGAAGCAGAUUUAGAUCCCUUCGAGGAUAAUGACGGUGAGUAUGGUUCUGACACGAACUAUGAACCACAAAAUAUAGAAGAAACUGGUGCAUCCAGUUCAUCAGAGGAAAUAUUUUCUAUAAGACCUUGUCGAAAAUACUCAUUUCUGAUGUGUAAAAUGUGUUCCAAAGAAUAAGAAGAGGGUCGAAACUAGCUACAGGUGCAUUGGUUGUCCAGGACUUCCUCCAUUAUGUCCUGAAUGUUUCCAGGAUUAUCACCAAAUCCUUGAACAGCAAGAACAAUAAAUCGUAGUCUGACUCUUCAAAACCUUAUUUUGCAGAUUUAUUUUCAUUUUUUGAGACUCUAUACGUUCCUAUUUUUAUAAUUAUUUACUAGGGUAUGUUGAACUAUUUUUUUGUUACUUUGGUACUUAUAUGUUUAAUAUUGUUUUCUUUUAUUGAGUUAAUUAUUAGGGUUUUUUAUUGUUUGUUAGUAGCGUUGCCGUAGUGUCGAAACUUUGUAUAUUUAUUAUGUACAAAGAUUGUUAUAGAAGAUUUCCGAUAGCGCAUUAAAAUAUUAUAAUUUAUAAUAAUUUAAGCGUUAAACAUAUGAUAUAAUCAUUUGAAUGUUCCUAAUUACAAUACCAAAUAAUUUGUAAUUAUUGUGUAAGAAAUGUGUAUUUGAAUAAGUUUCAGACUAUAUCUGUUUUUCAUCGUACAGAUAUUGAAAAAUACCAUAACAUAGCAUUUGAUGUUAUAAUAAUUAAUAUAUUUUUUUGUUUUUUGUUGGGAAAUUUCGUUUAUUUUAUAAGUCACAAAUUAUUGUAGGAGGUUUAAUAUUUGAAAAUAUUUGAUUAUUUUACAAAUA